rnacentral:lncRNA from 1 species
GUGAAUUAUGCUAUAUAUUCAUGAUCUUUGGUUACAUCUUCUGACAUUUGACUCUGACUUCCCUUGAACUGAAUAUUAAUGUGAGUAUUGUUACAUUGUAUGCGUUUACUUUUCUGCAUUUGCUACAGUUUCUUGUGUACAAUUCGGUGUUUAGUUUGGCUGUUCAUUAUCACUGAACUAGUAUAUAUAUUUUUUUUAGGGGCCAGCUGAAGAACGCCUCAGUGUGCGGGAAUUUCUCGCUGCAUUGGAGACCUGUUGGUGACCUUCUGCUGUUGUCUUUUCUAUGGUCGGGUUGUUGUCUCUUUGGCACAUUCCCUAUUUCCAUUCUCAAUUUUAUGAUCAAUGAACUAUGACUAAUAGUGCCAAAAAAUCUUGUCAAAAUGAGAAAGAAAUCAAUGACUGAUCAUAAUUUAGUCCCCUUAAACUGACCUAAACACAAACUUUAACAUGAAAAUUAUCAACAAUUCAACUAGCCAUGAUAUAGAGGACAUGAUCAUCUAAUCUCAAAUUUGAGGAAAUCAUAUGUGAUGCAACUGUAUACCAAAUAUUAAUAAUUUACUUCCCAUUUGUGGUUCAUCUUGACAUAAUCAUGAUAAUCAACAAGAAUGUGUCCAUAGUACAAGGAUGCCCCAAUCACACUUUCUUUUUUAAUGUUUAGUGGACCAUGAAAUUAGGGUUAAAACUCUCAAUUGAUUGUACUUCAACUUAAUCAAAAACUACCUUGACCAAAAACUUUAACCUGAAGCUGGACAGACGAAAGGAGUCACAGAC